rnacentral:rRNA from 1 species
UGGGGAAUAUUGGACAAUGGGCGAAAGCCUGAUCCAGCCAUGCCGCGUGUGUGAAGAAGGUCUUCGGAUUGUAAAGCACUUUAAGUUGGGAGGAAGGGCAUUAACCUAAUACGUUAGUGUCCUGACGUUACCGACAGAAUAAGCACCGGCUAACUCUGUGCCAGCAGCCGCGGUAAUACAGAGGGUGCAAGCGUUAAUCGGAAUUACUGGGCGUAAAGCGCGCGUAGGUGGUUAGUUAAGUUGGAUGUGAAAUCCCCGGGCUCAACCUGGGAACUGCAUCCAAAACUGGCAAGCUAGAGUAUGGUAGAGGGUAGUGGAAUUUCCUGUGUAGCGGUGAAAUGCGUAGAUAUAGGAAGGAACACCAGUGGCGAAGGCGACUACCUGGACUGAUACUGACACUGAGGUGCGAAAGCGUGGGGAGCAAACA